AUUCUUAAUAUGAGGACACUUUGAAUCUCCAUUCCAAAUACACUUUCUUGCACAGUACAUUAUCCUUCUCAUUAGACUCCUGCAAGCCCGAGCCUGAUGUCCCGACCCAAUUGGCCGCUGACCACCAGUAUGCCUCCACUGGAGUGGUCUAUUUAAAGAAAAUAAAUCCUGUUCAGGACAUGCUGCUCAACUAUGCCCUUGACCUUAGCAGACUGGAGGGGAAAUGCUGGUCAAAGAGGGGGAUGUCUGCCUGACAAGGGAAGACUUUUGGAGCUUGGGCCUUCCUAGGAACAUGGAGUCCAAUAUUGGAAACGCAUGUUUCAAACUUGUGGCGGAGGCCGCCCGAAGACAUGGAAAAGACAUCCACGUUGUUGACGCAUAUGUGGUUCCAACUUGGAAGUCUGAAACAGUGGUCCCUAUGGCUGGUCUUCCAGGUGACCUGCUGCAGAAGGACCUAAUCAUCCUCCCUGCCUGGAGCCGACAGCCAGGGAAAGCAGACCACUAUAUGCUUUGCGUGAGUCUAUUACAGAUCAUCUCAACCGGUGAAGUAAAAAUGAGCUGCAGUGUUGGGAUAUGUUUUCAUUCCUAAUUAUGGACUGUUUGUGA